ACAGCCCCACUGGACCAUGAUGUCAGCGGUGCCCCUGGCAUUGUGCAAAGCUGCGGCCUCAUUCUGCUUCCCCCGCUCUCUCUGGAUACGCUCCUCCCUGCCCCUGUGCCUCUUGAGAUGAGCGGUCUAGAAUUCAACUCAGGCCUCCUCUGCACAGAGAGGGAGAGCCCCAUCUCCUCCUACAUUUGAGACCUGCGCAGUCUGACAGCAAUAUAAGGAGACAGACACAGAGAGGACAAUGCCAUGUGAAGACGUGGAGAAGAGACGGAAAGGAACGCCGCGUGAAGACGGAGGCAGAGGAGUGAUGUGUCUAUCAGAUGAGGAACGCCAGGAUUGCCAGCAACCACCAGAAGCUAGAAGAGGGGAGGACGGAUUCACCCCUAGAGGCUUCAGAGAGAGCGUGGCACUGCCAGCACCUUGAUUUCAGGCUGCUAGUCUCCAGAACUGUGAGACAAUAAAUUCCUGUUCCUUUAA